rnacentral:rRNA from 1 species
UACGUAGGGAGCAAGCGUUGUCCGGAAUCAUUGGGCGUAAAGCGCGCGUAGGCGGCCCUGUAAGUCCGUUGUGAAAGUCAAAGGCUCAACCUUUGAAAGCCGAUGGAUACUGCAGGGCUGGAGUCCGGAAGAGGCGAGUGGAAUUCCUGGUGUAGCGGUGGAAUGCGCAGAUAGUCAGGAAGAACACCGGUGGCGAAGGCGGCUCUCUGGGCCUUACCUGACGCUGAGGAGCGAAAGCGUGGGUAGCGAACAGG